AACGUAGGUUCCGAGCGUUAUCCGGAUUUACUGGGCGUAAAGCGCGUUCAGGCGGUUUGGCAAGUCGGGCAUGAAAUCUCUCGGCUCAACCGGGAGAGGUUGUCCGAUACUGCUGGACUUGAGGGCAGUAGAGGGUGGUGGAAUUCCGGGUGUAGUGGUGAAAUGCGUAGAUAUCCGGAGGAACACCUGCGGCGAAGGCGGCAUCCUGGACCGGUAUUGACGCUGAGGCGCGAAAGCUAGGGGAGCAAACGGGG
rnacentral:rRNA from 1 species